rnacentral:lncRNA from 1 species
CCAAGUUAACUGCAGACUCCACGGUCUUCAUGGCUUCGAACCUUGGCUCCUUGGCUUGGAACUUGAGGUCAGCAUAGAGAUUCAUGUAGUCCUCAAACACAAAUUUGGGGUACACUUGAGAUUUGUCAGCUUCUUUCUCUAGCAAAGCUGGUGCUGGAUAUAUAACAGCAUCACUGCCCGGGUUGUAGAAGGAAGCAAUGGACAUUCUGGUCCCAUCUGUUUGAGCAAUCACACGGUGCAUCACACUCUUAUAUUUACCAUUUGUGAUUACCUGGUUCAAGCAGAUAAAAAUAGUCAGCAAGAAUAUCAAGGAAUGGGGCUUAUAAAAUAAUUAUUAGUCCCCAGCUGGAAUUGAUCUAGUUUGGAAUAACUUUUGUCCUCCCACUUACAUAUAUAGGCUUUGUGCUUUAUGCAAUAAAGAAAUUAAUUAAUUUCAAUAUUAUUCCAUAUUCCGUACGUAGCCAAAUAGCCUAUUAUUAUUAUUAUUAUUAUUAUUAUGUGGAAUUAGUGUGAAAAAAAGGUGAGUGCUUGGUUGGUAUACCUCAAGUUGGUCACCAAGGUUGAUGACAAUAGAGUGUUUCAUAGGAGGAACAUCAAUCCACUGACCAUCCUUGAGAAGCUGAAGGCCGCUGACCUUGUCAUCUUGCAAGAGUAAGAUGAUUCCACCAGCAUCAGUGUGAGCCCUGAGUCCCUUGAUUAGGUCAGGUUUGGGGCAUGGAGGAUAAUUGCUAACCUUGGUACCGAAGGUUGGCCCUUUGGACCCAUAAAACACUUUUUUCAGGUAACCAGGCUCCAACCCCAGAUUCUCACACAACAGGUCCAAAAGUUGCUCUGCAAGCUUCUCCAACUCCACUGCAAAUUCCUUCAUCACCUUU